GAUGAAGAACGUAGCGAAAUGCGAUAAGUAAUGUGAAUUGCAGAAUUCAGUGAAUCAUCGAAUCUGUGAACGCACAUUGCGCCCCCUGGUAUUCCGGGGGGCAUGCCUGUCCGAGCGUCAUUACAACCCUCAAGCUCAGCUUGGUGUUGGGCCCCGCCGCCCCGGCGGGCCCUAAAGUCAGUGGCGGUGCCGUCCGGCUCCGAGCGUAGUAAUUCUUCUCGCUCUGGAGGUCCGGUCGUGUGCUCGCCAGCAACCCCCAAUUUUUUUCAGGUUGACCUCGGAUCAGGUAGGGAUACCCGCUGAACUUAAGCAUAUCAAUAAGCGGAGGA
rnacentral:misc_RNA from 1 species